CCACGUGCCGCCGUUCCCGCCUCUUCGAGCCGGAAACCAUAGAGUUCGAGCCGAGAAGCACAGAGCGUACAUGGAAACCAUCGAGUCCGAGCUGGAAUCACAGAGACUACGCGGAAAGCACGCUAUUUGCGUGGGUUGCGCUAUCUGCGUGGGUUGCGCUAUCUGCGUGGGUUGCGCUAUUUGCGUGAGGUGUGAAGGGGAUGCUUUGGUUCUAGCAGACAGUGACAAAGCAGUGAUGAGGGACCUGCUGGCUGUGGGACUCGUGGAGUUGAUGAACUGUGGAGCUUUCUUUAAAGGAGGAUGGCCUGAGACCUGUGGCCCCUGAAAGCUAAAUGCAGGGAGAGGAGCCACGCAGCAGAGGGUGGUGGAGGAGAGGAGCAGAGCGUGGUGAGGAGCUGGGUCGGUGCGUAUUGAAGAGUCUGGGUGAGUUGUCCCCUGGGUUGUGAGGGAAGGUGUGAGUGGUGCCUCUAUCGACUGGCUCAUGGUUUGGGUUUGUUUUGUAGGUGCAAAGCACUGAGGGAAGUGGGAGAUCUGCACUGGAGGUGACUCGAGCAAGGCAGCACACAGGGCUGGACGUGGCACCCUGUGACCAUCAGAGGCUGGACAGGUGAGCCACGAAGUUUUGCAGCCUUGGAGCAGUGGAGCAGCAUGCCAACGGGCCAUCUGUGGAGAUGACACAGGCGUCAGCCAGAUACUACAAGCAAGGAUGGCCUCAGCAUCUGUCCGAUUCUGGAACCGGCAGAUCACUAUGGCAGGAACAUCCCGGGAAGGACGGCUUGUCGAGGAGGAAGGCUGCAGAGCCCUGGCCAUCUGAAAGCUAAGUGGAGGGGCUGGGAGGAGGGCACAAGGUUGGGGAUUGGAGGGGGGGGUUUCAAAGUUGGUGUAGGGGAGAGGGCUGGCAGGGCACAGUCCCCUUGGGGCAGACAAAGGGACAGGUUACUCUUCAGCACCAUGUCAGCGUGUACAGGGCAGGGCAGCUCCAACCUGUGUCUGGCGUGUACUUUAUGUUGUUUGUUUUCCGUGUCUCAGACUGUAUGUUCUUUGGCUCUUGGUGCCUCCAUAGCUUGGUGACCAGCAGGCACCUUGGUAAUCUUCCCAAGAGUCCGGAAUGCAUCACUUCACUGGCACAGAGCCUGUUGAGCUCUUCUCAUCUCACAAUUACAGCUUGACGUGUGGAUCUCUUUGGCGUGUGUCACAUCCUGGCUGUUUCUGAGCGUUCAUCUCUUGCGGUGGCCAGCCAGGUGCUGCCCGCAGCUCUGCUCUUGAGUCUUCUGUUUCCACAGAGUCAUCUUCUGGGGUUUCAUCCCCAUGUCCUCACUGGUCUUGGGUCUUCAAGCAUGGCUUCUCACACAUCCCUCAUUCUAGUUUUGAUGGCAGCUUUCUCUUGUGUGUGUGGCUGCAAUUGCCUCUCCUUGGCAGGUCUGCUUUAGAGCAUCUGUGCCAUCGUGGCACCGUAGGGCUUCUCUGCCGGCAUAAUCUUCCCUAUGGCAAUCUUUCACUGAGCAAGGACAAGAGACUUGUAGAAAGUUACAAAGGUCUUGCGAAAAAAAGAUCCUGAUCUUGUUGAAACACGAAGAUGGGGAAGCACGUGCUUUGCUUAAAAUGUGGCAGAAUUGCCGAAGUUGCUGUAGCUGAGCGACCUCUGCUUGUGACAAAAUCAACAAUAUGGAAACCAGACCUUCAGCAUUUAGGCUGCCCACCUCCAACUGAAGACCUACCCACCGUGUGUCCUGUACCUCAAAAUCAGAGUGAGAAAUUCACUAACCAAUCAGAGUAGAGUAACUGUGUAUCUGUAUUAGGUGAAGGAAGCUAACCACAAGUGCAUAAAUGUACAUAGCCUUGCUACUUCAGGGGGCAGCUUUGUGUCUAACCCCCUCUCGCCCUGUGUUUCCCUAAACGAAUUAAAUAAAUGAAAAUACCUUGGCUCUGUAUGUAUUUGGCAUCUUGCAUACCAGGUGAAUGACCCCACUUUUGGUAUAACAAGGUAUAACACUCGCGGCGUCCGUGUGUAGUCCUGGUCUGUGUGUGAGGGUUGGAGCUGCCCUGCCCAGGGAUGCAGCAGUACUGAUGACAGGGUAGCGUAGCUUUAUGGGGGAGUGGAAGUAAGUUGGUUUGGACCAGUUCUGUUGGCAGAGACCGUACGGUCCAUCUCUGGGCAAACAGGUGUAGGCAGCUGCCACAGUUGUGUUCGCUUUUCUUUAUGGUCCGGGGCUAGGAUUGGAUCCAGCCGCACCUAGACUCCUCUGAGAAGGAGUUUAGAAAGCAAGGGGGUCCAGUCUGAACCUCGUGACUGGUUGGGAGCAGCAGUUAGUGUGGAAGGGGAGGGGGUCAGAUCUGGAAGGUGCCUUAGCUUGCACAGAUGGGGCUCCCUAGCUGGCUUUUCUUCUUCUAGCUGUAGUGAGAAGGUAUAUGCAAAAGGCAGAGAGACCUCUGGCCUCACCAAGCUAGCUGUGGCUGUGCAGGUGACUUGCUUUACAGGGUGUGUUUGUGUUGAUUCAGAUGCAGAGCAACAAGCAGCACGGCCAAGGGCACGGAAGAGGGGAGCAGAGUGCCGGCUGAAGAAGGACAGGCAUCCAGUGCCGGAGUAUCGGCAGGACAGCUGGUGGCUCUGACAAGCUGGAGCUUAUCUGGCUGGAUUUUCUGGGUGUGAAUCCAAGUGUGAAGCGAGAUGUUAGCAGCAGAGCGGCCUCUGGCAAGGUGUUGGGGUUUUUAUUUUGGAGGCACAAGGCCAGGAGCAAAGCAGGACAUCAGCACUGCAGGUGGUACACAAGCCCUCCUAGUCCCCUGGGGUCCCCGCCUGGAUGGUUCAGGAUGGCCUGGUGCUGCAAAUUGCAUUUCCAGAGACAAACAGCAGCUUGUGGUCAGGACUCCAGAGAGAUUUGAGAAGGCCCCAGAGCACCUUCUGCAUCCUCUCACAGUCAGCAUGUGAGUGAAGCGAUGCAGGAUUCCUACCUCUGUGCCUGCCCCACAUGCCAUUCUUUUCCCCUGUGGUUCCAGACUGUCAGCAUGGGAGAGACUUGCUUCCCCUCCAGGUCUAAGUGUUUUCCAGUGCAUGAGGGACCUGCCACAGAACCUGAGCUUUCCUAUUGCAUUGAUUGGAUAGGUGCGUAACACUUAGAGCCUGGUGUAGGUUGGCUUCUUCCUGCUAAGAAGCCAUUUCUUCACAAAAUGCUUUUCUUUGUCUAAGAUGGAGACAUACAAGUAGUGGUGACCAGAUCUGUGCUUGAAAAUGGACUUGAUGGAAAGUACCAAACUUGUCUUUUGUUGCAAUCCGUAAUGAUUUUUUUUGGCCUCAAAUGUUUUUUGUACUGCUUCUCAAACACCGUUUUCCAGCUUUUUUUUUAAUAAUUGAAAGAAAAACCAGCACUCAGAAUAUUGAUGGAAAAAGAAUUGUGGACAAUUUCAAAACUUCACAGAUUUGUUUAUAAGAUUUACUUGUUUGAAAAAGUGA